CUAACAAUUCGCAUAAAACCGAAUUGGACAGAAAAACUGACAUCGGCUCGUUGGAGAAAAUGGCUGUUAUUUGUAACUUGCUUCGCCACGUCUCUACUUACAUCCUAGCAUGUUUUCUUCCGGAAACUUUCUUUUACACGAGUACAUCUUUUUAAGCUGGGACUAGAUAGCACUGGCCAGUAAUUAGGGGUGCUCUAGGGGGCGGCGGAGGGCACCCUGUGUCCAGAAGUCUCCACACCUGGGCUCUCCCUGCUUGGGGCAGCACACCAGACAGGGUUCCCUGUAGCUAAGGCUGACCUCAAGCUCACUAGUAACCAAAGCUGGCUUUGAAUUUCUGGUUUUCCUGCUUCUACCUCCUGGGUGCUGAGAUCACAGGCGAGCGCCACCUGGUGGAGCAGAGAGAGAGUCCAUAACGGCACAGGCGGCGCAGCAGCAGACUUGGGGUCAAGAAGCCGAGAGAUCACAUCUUCAACCACCUGCAGAAAGCGGAGGAAGCAGGAGCUGGAAGUGGAAUGGAGCCCACACCCUCAGUGCCUUCCCCAAUGAUGUGCUUCUUCCAGCAAGGCUGCACCUCCUAAGGUUCCAGGACCUCCCCAAACAGUGCCAGGAACUUGGAACCAAGUGUUCAAAUACACGAGGGGGACAUUUCUCAUUCAAACCACCACAGAGUACGUGUACAGUAAAGCCAACUGUCCUCUGAAUGAACUCCUAGGAAAAAAACCUUUGUUUACUAGCUUAUCCUUAUGCAUAAUUGGGUGUGCAUAUUAUUAAAAUUCAAAUGCAUUGUGCACAGUAAGCAUGCCUGCCAAUCAAAACAUCUGUGCCUGGGGCUUGAAAGAGGACCCAGGUUCAGUUCCUAGCACCUUUGUGGUAACUCAUGACCCUCUAAAUAACUCCAGUUCCAGGGGAUCUGAUAUCUUCUUCUGACCUCCAAGGGCACCAGGAGCCCUCCCAGGGCAUGCAUGUGGCAAAAUACUCAUAAAAUAAAAGAAGCUAAGAAAAUAAAUAAUCAGUUAACUACCUGUGCUAUGCUCCCUAGCAACCAAAUUCUUCCUUCUCUUGAACGCCACAAAAGGAAGCUCCAAGCAAUAAUUGGGACCCUUAAGUGUCUUCACUCAUGUGGCUCAUUGUCACUCUUUUUAAUCUUGUUACAUUUAUUCACUUACUGUGUUUGUGCACACAUCUGUGUGUGUGCACGUGUGUCAUGGUGCACGUGUGGAGAUUACAGCCAUGUGAAAGUCGGUGCUCUCCUUCCACCAGGUGGCUGCCGGGGCUUGAACUCAAGCCCUUACACCCUGGCAGCAACGUCCUCAUCUGCGGGGCUAUCUCACCAGCUCCAUCGGUCGCUCCUUUUUAAGAUUUUUAUUUAAUAUUUAUUUAUAUUUGCUAGCAUCUUUUACAUUGUUUUCCUUCCCCUUCCUCCCUUUCCUUUCUUCUCUGCCCCCAACAUGC